GUCUGGUCUGUAACUGACGCUGAGGCUCGAAAGUAUGGGUAGCAAACAGGAUUAGAUACCCUGGUAGUCCAUACCGUAAACGAUGAAUGCUAAGUGUUGGAGGGUUUCCGCCCUUCAGUGCUGCAGCUAACGCAUUAAGCAUUCCGCCUGGGGAGUACGGCCGCAAGGCUGAAACUCAAAGGAAUUGACGGGGGCCCGCACAAGCGGUGGAGCAUGUGGUUUAAUUCGAAGCUACGCGAAGAACCUUACCAGGUCUUGACAUNCUAUGCAAAUNUAAGAGAUUAGACGUUCCCUUCGGGGACAUGGAUACAGGUGGUGCAUGGUUGUCGUCAGCUCGUGUCGUGAGAUGUUGGGUUAAGUCCCGCAACGAGCGCAACCCUUAUUAUCAGUUGCCAGCAUUAAGUUGGGCACUCUGGUGAGACUGCCGGUGACAAACCGGAGGAAGGUGGGGAUGACGUCAAAUCAUCAUGCCCCUUAUGACCUGGGCUACACACGUGCUACAAUGGAUGGUACAACGAGUUGCGAACUCGCGAGAGUAAGCUAAUCUCUUAAAGCCAUUCUCAGUUCGGAUUGUAGGCUGCAACUCGCCUACAU
rnacentral:rRNA from 2 species